rnacentral:rRNA from 1 species
CGUAGGGGCGAGCGUUGUCCGGAUUCACUGGGCGUAAAGGGCGCGUAGGCGGUGCGGCGUGUCGGCCGUGAAAGCUCCCGGCUCAACUGGGAGAGGUCGGGCGAGACUGCCGCGCUGGAGGCAGGUAGAGGGCCGCGGAAUUCCGGGUGUAGUGGUGGAAUACGUAGAGAUCCGGAGGAACACCGGUGGCGAAGGCGGCGGCCUGGGCCUGGCCUGACGCUGAGGCGCGAAAGCGUGGGGAGCGAGCCGGAUU